AUUUUCAGUCGGCGUUCCAGAUUGAUGAGCGAAGCGCUCUGUAUUCGGCGUCUCACCGUUUGCCCGUCAGUAUCUCAUAUCAUUUUUCAAGUUUUCGUCGCACUAACGUCAGCUCACGUUUUCCAAGUUCUUUCUCGCGUCCACUGCGUGUGAUUCCGUCUUUUUAAUAAUUCAUUUUUAAUAUCUGACUUUGGUCAUCGAUGCCGAUAUUUCUUUCAGCAUCUGUGUUGUAUACUUCGUCUCACUGGCCAUAUUUUCGUCUCUUCUUUUGCACUAGUACGUCAAUUUUCAAACGUAUUCACGGUGACAGUUUUCGGCGUUACUGUCCUCGCACACUGACCAUGCACUCACAACAAACUAUUUUUCGACCAUUCCGGAAUGUUCACUUUUAUCACGAAGUCGUCUUAUUCACACCGCUAGUUCUACGAUGGUUAAUUUUUCCCACUGCUCGAUCCCUAUUUCAUAAGAUUUUAAAUAUGUUUGAAGGAUUAUUUUUAUUUAACGGGAUCGAUGGAGAACAGAAGGAAUAAUUGUCAAUUAGCAAACCAAACGUAGCGAGCAACUACUAAACGUUAUUUUUCCUGACGUACGCUGCUAGCCUGUCGAGUUUUGCUUUUUUGUUUUUUUUUUCUCAACAGUAAGUCAUAAAAGCAGCAUCGUUCCGCGCAGCAAUGAAACGUUCGCCUCGGACGUUCGCGCGUGUAUUUUUUCCUUGAGAAAUUUCCCUCAAAACUGCAUAGUUCAUUCAUAGCAUGCAAUAAAACUCAUGAAAUAACUGGCAGCUGUCAUAUUUGCUACAACGGUGAUCACAAGAAAUAUAAUUAAAAUAAUUUUGGAGGAAACGUUGCUGUACGUAAGGUAAACAAUGUCUGAUCUGGUGCUGCUCAAAUUUAUUCAAAAACCAACCAUUAUAUAUUCAACUUUAUAAUUCAUGAUCACAACAAUGAACUCUUCACUUUAAGAUGUGCUUCAAAUUUAUAAAUCGUAGUGCAAUAGAAUUAAAUAAAUAAAAAUAAUAAUAAUAAAAUAAAAAUAACGAACUUCUUUAUCGACCAUCACUCAAGAGUUUCAUAAUUUCAUCAACAAAAUCUACCAAUCGAUCGACCGUUGAAGAUUUGUUUGUAAUUGGAGAGUUGCCGUUGAUAGGUUCGGUUAGCAAUGCUCGCAUCCCGUUGAUUUUUUCUGAGGCAUAAAUAUCGAUUAUUUUAGAAAAAGUUAUACGAGCCAUUCCCAUUUUUUGAAUCAACGCAUCCGACAAAACACUCCGCAGUGGAAGCAAACUUUGGGUAGCAUCCUCGUAUCGUUUCGGGUGCAAUGUUUUGUGCUGGCACUUCGAGUGGUACCAUUUUCGAUACGAAGAGGUUAUUCGCAAUUUUUAAACAAGUCAACCUCUGUAAAACCUCUAUAUCUCACAGUGCAUUAUGAGCUCCGUCGUUCGAAGCCGUCCGACUCUUCGAUUCCGCAGUGUCGGACGGUCGGAAGCGCGUUGGCAGAGCGUGUAACUACGUCUUUAGAUUGUGCAAACGUCGAGGUUUCUUUUGUUCCAUGAAGAAGUCGGACACUAUCGAAAGAGCAUUACGUGUCGCGGGUACUACGUGAGCGCAGCUCAUUUUGACGCGACUGAAGAUCAUUGAAAAACAGCACGAAAAUCAUUUUGUGGAUUUUCAUGAGACCGUUGACUGCCGACGCCGCAGUACGAAAAAAGGAACGCUUCCAAGAAAAGAAACAUGAACGCUAAACAAAACUCCGUUUCACUUAGUGCUCUCAUUUGCAAUGUUCCAGCCAGGCGUAUAGGAAUAAACAAAUAAUGCAAUUUCAUCGCUGAGGGAAUCUUCUCUUUAUAAUUGGGUGGAACUAGAGUAAACUGCUCUGCUGAUCUCGCUUUUGGGCGGCAUGAGUUUUGCUGUGUUUCGAUACGGUAUUGACGAAUGUUAUAAUGGGACAACAAACAUUUUUUUCCAACUGCAUGAGCGAACGCUUUAAGUAGAAAAAUUACGAGUGACGUGCCUGAGGCUGAGAAUCUGAGAAUUUGAAAAAAAUAUAUUUUUCAUCAAUUUUAAGGAUACAGAAGACACGCUCGAGUGAGGACGCGUCUGUCGCGACGGUUCAACUCCCAUGACGACUGUGAACUAGUAAAACAGAAUGUAAUGAAAAAAUGAGAGUACGGAUUGAUGAAAAACAAAUGCGUAACGUAUUGUGUACGAAACGCAUUGUUGAAAUCUAAAGUCAGAGAGAGUGCCGAACAAAGUGAACGCGUCCACAAACCUUGCUCCAAACUUUUCUUUCUACAACGUGUUUCAAUUAUCGCUGUGACUUUUUCAUGUACACUUCACCCACGUUUUUGUUAUCAAUGCCGGCUGCAAAUCGACAAUUGUUCGACACGUUCGUGCUGAAGAAUUGCGCUUUUGGUAUGUUAUACUAGUCAUCGUGGCAUGCAAAUGCCCAUUGAGAUUACUCGACACAGCGUACAUAAAUUUAUAUGAAUUUUCGGUCGACCCGUUUAUGAUAUUUUUCAAGAUAUUUACUGAGCUUCACGUUAUUAAAAUAAAUAAAUAAAAUGUAUAUUAUACAGUAAUACGUGAUCGUCAUGAAGUUAUAAUUAACGUGUUUCUGACACAAACAUAUCAUGUUUCGAUAAGAGGAAAUAUCAAAUUAUUUGAAACAAUGGACACUACAGCCAACAGUCUGAGUUGUGCAGUUACUACAAACAAUGAGUCGAGUCUUGGUCAGUUAAGAAAAAAAAGAAUUGGAGGAGUCUGACUGUUUUAAAGAUAUCUCAAAGUUAUAAGAAUAACUUUGCUCCAACUUUUUUUUAGUUGUUCCAGGAUGUUGAUUUUUUUCAUUGAAUUUUUUAUUUUUAUACAUAAGAGAAACACAGUGAAUGCAAUAAAUAUUAAUUGUUUAUUCGAGUGCGUUGGAUUCGACACACAAGAAAUUUGACAGAUUCCUCAUGAAUGAUUUUAUCUCGUAUUGUUGAAGGAAUUUCUGGCAUUAAAACGAAAAUGAUGUCACCUUUAGUCAGUCGAUUGUAUCUUAUAAAGUGAAGUGUAAAAAAAAUUGAUUUAAUUUUCCGACAGUUUAAGAAUCACAAUCAAUAACAAUCUGGACCAACUAAUAUGUAAUCUGCUUAUGGAAGUCAAGACACGUUCGGUGAUAUCUCGAUCCAUUAGAAAAUUUGUUGAUAUUGGGUUGAUAAUUUAUUCCCGCGGAUUAAGAUAGUACCUGGAAAUAUUGCAAGGACACAUUCAGGUUACCUCGCACUCAAAUCAGUGCAUUGCGGUGGGGAUUUCUACAUUACAAUUUGAGAACGUCUUGUGUUUAGAACACAUCAUAGUUUUGCUCAUUGCUGGAUUUAUUUUAUUCAUCAUUUUCUCUUUCGAUUGUUCGUUCUUGUGUAUUAUGUUGUAAGAUUAUUAUUAUUAUUAUUAUUUUU